UAGGAGUAGUAUAUUUUUGUGGAUAAAACAGAUAUGACUUGGUAGUCCUUCGUACAUAGUAGUGGGGAGAAAUGGAGAUUUCUGCAAUUAAACCACCGACAGUACUCCAUUGUUAAAUCUCAAUCAAAGUACACUCCGUACAAACAAGGUUCCCCCUCUUUUAUCAAAGAAACCCUAUUCAAACAUUUUUCUAUUCCUUUGUCCCCACAAUCCUUGGAGCAAGCAUCAUGGGGUCAUAUAUUAUGUUAUUGUCCCAUUUUGAAACCCCAGCCCAUUGCAUCCAGUUCAGCCUUUCAGUAUUAGCAAAUCUCCUCAGGAAUUCAACCAUAAUUACCUGGAGAAGUAGUGUCACUCCCACUAUCCCAAUAAACAGUCUGUUCUUCAAUAUCCCACGGAAUAUGUUUUUCUUCUCCAAAUUCCUUGCAUUGAACUCGUUGAAGAUUUGACAGAGGACGAAAGUAUUGAAGAUCAAGGUGUCUUUUACCUUCUUAUUCACAUGAAAGAUGGCACUUCCUUUGAACUGCAGGAUUAAUAGUACAGUUACCUGAUACAACGCUUGAGCAAUGAGGUUCCUCCACAUCACACCAGUUAUCAGAGGUUCAGUUCGUCCAACUGGUUUCUUGCUCAUUAGAUCACUACUGGGUCGCUCAGUUGCCAACGCUAAGGCCCCCAGAGUAUCCAUUAUGAGAUUCACCCACAGAAGUUGGACUGCUGUCAGAGGGACUUCUCCAGAUGAAGCAGCAGCAACAAAGUUGAUAACAAGGGCAGCAACAUUUACUGUGAGUUGAAACUGGAUAAACUUUUGAAUGUUAUUAAACACACACCUACCCCACUUCAAGACUGUAACCACUGUAUUGAAAUUGUCGUCCAAGAUAAUUAUAUCGGAGCUCUCCUUUGCGACUUCUGUGCCUUGGAUCCCCAUGGAAAGUCCAAUAUCUGCUGCUUUUAGUGCUGGAGCAUCAUUUGUUCCAUCGCCUGUUACUGCUACAACAUGACCUUUCUGCUUCAAACAUUCCACCAUCAAAAGCUUGUCAAACGGUGAAGACCUUGCCAUCACUCGUAUUUUUUCGACUACCUCCAUUCUUUCUUCUUUCGAAUAAUUCCUGAAUGCUGGUCCUUCAAUAACUGCAAUGUUCAAGUCUUCACCUGGUUGGAGUAUUCCACAUUCAAAAGCUAUUGAUUUGGCUGUAAACACAUUGUCCCCAGUAAUCAUUUUGAUGCUAACACCAGCAGCCCUGCAAGAUUCUACUGCUUCUUUUACACCUGGCCUACAUGGGUCCUUUAGACCCACCAGACCCAGUAAGGUGCAACUAAUCCACUUUUGACGUAAUAAGUGGAGCACAUAGCUAGAAUCAUCUCAGCAGCACCUUUCCAAUGUGUGUGAACUUUUCCCGUACUAGUUUUUGUUACCAGUACCCCACUUCUCUUCUUUUGUGAAUUGAAAACUUCAACAUGAAGGAUUUGAUACUCUUGCUUUAUUUCAUUAAAGUUCACUAGUAAACUGGUCAUGGCCCAUGAUAGAAUUGCUUUCUCAGUUGGGCUUCCACAGAUCUCUGGAGGACCAGAAGGUGUUGUGUAAACAUCACCAGUAGUAUUCAAGCCAGCAGCCUCUUGUAGCAAUUCAAGAACUUCAGUGAAACUAGCGGGUUCAUUGAACCAAUUAAACAAGGGUGCAUUCACCUCAAGUUACGUACCUGCAUCUGGUUUAAGGUGAGAGUGCCAGUUUUGUCUGUGCAGAUUGUGGUUGCUGAGCCCAUAGUCUCACAGGCAGAUAGCUUGCGGACCAUCGCAUGAUCGAGCAUCAUUCUUCUCAUAGAGUAUGCCAAUGUUAGGGUGACGGCCAAUGGCAAACCUUCUGGGAUUGCAACCACUAUGAUGGUUACUGCUGCUGCAAUUAUACGAAUCAAGGAAUUCAUUAUAUCAUCUGCUUUGGUUUUGCUACCUAUGAACUCCUUCUGUCCAUUGUCAUUUUCAGUAUGUCCCGUGAAGUAACGGAUCAUUAAGGUGACUAGAACAAGAAAAGCCACUAACAGACCUACGUUCCCGAUAUAUUUGGUAAGCUUAUUUAACCGAUGCUGUAGUGGCGUUUGCUCAUUCUUGUCAUCUGUUAUUGUGCACAUUAUCUGACCCCAUGCAUUGUUUAUACCUACCGACGUGACAAGCAUGUGUCCAUAUCCGUCCAUUACCUUUGUUCCACCCACCAAAAAGGGGUUUUGUGUCUCGUUAAUUUGAACAUGGUCACUUUCACCUGCAGAAGUAAAUCCAAAAUAUACAUUUAGGGGGUCCUUUGGUAGAGUGCAUUAGUUAAAAUAAUGCACACAUUAGCUUUAUGUAUUACUAAUACCUUGUUUGGUACGAUUACUCAACCUAUGUAUAACUAUAAUAUAUACAUGGAAAAUCAUGUUAUUAGCAACGCAAAGGGUUCUAAUAUGCAUUAGCAUGUUUAAAGAUGCAAUUGACCCUCAAAACCUUUUCCAAGUCCUUUCCACCGUAUUUGUGGUGGAUAUUUUUGUAAACAAAUAAUUUGUUUUUGGAAAUUAUGCAACACAUUAUUUUUAAUAGACCAAAUCAAACUCUGCAUAAGAAAUAACCUCAGCAUAACCCAUAAUAGCAUUACUAAUGUGCCGUAUGCGCCUUCUGUGUUCUUUAUUAUAUAGGUUCAAUACUUAAUAUUUAUCUUACUUUUUUUUUUUUUUUACAUUAAUAUCUAUUGUUUAUACUGAGAGUGACAUUUUCAAUUAUAUUCAUUCCCUAGACUAGGUCUGCCUAUAUUCACCUGUCAUGCAGGACUCGUCUACUUGCAGCGAAUGGCCAUCCAAGAAGAGUCCAUCUGCUGGGAUCUGAUCGCCGAUUUUGAGACAGACAACAUCACCCACAACAAUAUCAUAGAUAGAUACUUCCUGUCUACGUCCGUCUCUCAUUACUUCUACUUUUAUAUCCUUGCUCUCAUCCGAAAGCUUCAGAAACUGUCUGCUUUGUUUGAAGUUACUGAUAGAAGAGACUGCAAGGACAAGAACAACUGCAACGAUGAUACUUCCGCCAUCAUACCACCCUUCCUUUGGCCCGUGUUGUUUAAUCCCAAAGCCAAGGGAUAAAACAGCGCACACAAGAAGGACGAUAAUGGUGGUGUCUUUGAAAGCUUCAACGACGAAACUCAGGAAACUCUUGGCUGGUGGCUUGUCAUAAAUAUUGGAACCAAAAGUAUCCUUUCUUUGUCUUAGUUCAUUCUCGUGCAUUGUUAUACCUGCUUUAAGAUGUGAUCCAAGAAUUUCUCCGACUCGUCUCACUCCUCCAAAUUGGAGUAGUCCAUUGAAGUCUUUCUCUCUGACCAACUUGGCAAGUGCUUCUUUGUUGAUGCCAUGAAAAAGUUGUUUCUCAUGAUCAUUGAUGCUUUCAAUGUUGAUGACAUAGGAUGGAUCACGCAACAACCGGGAAAAGACUAAUGUGUUUCUGUCAAUCCUUUUCUUUGUCAAGAAACUCACAAAACAUAUGGCUCUAAACACCAACUGCAACCUUUUGUGAGGUUUUCCCAAGGGACUGUCCUUUUCAUUGCUUAAAAACAUGAUGCUAUCACUGUGUUUGGAUGGGUGCAUAGCCAUUAUUAGAAUUUUUUUUGCACAAAAACAAUAUAGUUAAUUGUUACUGCUGGUAAAUAUUUUGAACUGUCUACUACUGGCAGGCAGUGUGCUUUUGUAUUUGUAGAUAGAUACAUAACCUAGCAAAAGAAAUUUCCAUGCAAUUUCCAGGAAUUUACAAGUACUUUAUUAGGUGAUA